GUGGGUUAUGGUGAUAUGAAUCCCACUAGCUUUCCAGGUUACGUCAUCGGCAGUCUCUGCGCAAUAUCCGGUUUACUGAUGAUUGCUUUCACCGUCCCGAUCAUUGUCAGUAAC
rfam:Crassostrea gigas strain 05x7-T-G4-1.051#20 contig366, whole genome shotgun sequence.